CCAUAGACUCGAAACACUAAGAUUUACUUACGCCGAUAGCGUAGACUUGACAAUGUGAUAAUAUCUCUGACGGCAUCCAACCCGAGCUAACCUGGCAACCCUAGGGAAUAUGGGAAAGAAAAGGGGAGUAAGCUUUACGCUUAGUAAGUUCAUAAGAAAACAAUAAGCAACUCAUUAACAAGUUUUAUCAAUGUUUAGAACAUAAUCACAAAUUCACUACAAGUUGUCUUCCUGAGCAAUAGUCACUAAAUUAUUUAUAACUGGAGCUAAAAAACUCCAAAUCAAUUGCCGUUAAUUUUCCCUGAAAAUAGACUCAUAUAUCUUCCAUCCAUAAAAUUUUCAGAAUUUUAGGUUUGGCCAAUCAAUACCAGUUCUUAAAGUUUCCCCUAUUUUACUGUUUGACUAAUCUGACCACUCUCCACUACGAAUCAAAUUCCUCAUUGUACAGAAUUCAAAAUAUGUUCUAUUUGAUUCCAUUUGAAACUAGACUCAUUAAGGAGUCUAAGCAUAUAAAUUUUAUCUUAUAACCAUUUUUAUACAAAUUAUAAUGAUUUUCUAAAAACAGAAUAGGGGUCCCCGAAGUCAUUUGACUCUAUCCCACGCCACUUCAAAUAUCUCAUUAUCAGCAAUUCUUUUGCUUACACGGUUUCUUUUAUAAGAAACUAGACUCAUUAAGCUUUAAUUACAUAAUUUAUUCAGCUUCUAACUCAACUCCAACAAUUUAUGGUGAUUUUCCAAAAUCACGUUACUGCUGCUGUCCUAAGCAAAUUUAUUACAAAUUUACUCUUUCACACAUUCUUUGCAUUCACAUUAUUUAAACAUGUAUAUCACCAAUAAAUUUCAUCACAUAUCUAUAAUUUCACUCAAGCAUAAUCUCAAUACAAUACAUCAUGCUCAAUGAUUCGCACACAACCGUUCAAAUUAGCAAUUAUAAGAUGAUUCCGCACAUAGUCCACCCUUAUCGAUAAUUUACGAUGGUUUUGCCCUUACUCACAUAUAUGACAUAGGCAUUUUCACCUAUGCUUCUCAUUUCACACUCAUGAUUCAAUUCCAAUCGAUCUAACAUGUAUAAGAAUAUACCACAUACCUGGCCAACUUAAUGCAUUGAACAAAUUCAAUCGCCGAUUUAACACAAGGUCUCAUAGUCUUAGACUUUUAUCAAAUCACCGGCAUUUAGCCUGCUAGGUUUUAAACCCGAUAAUAUUAUUCACCAGCUUAAAGCUUGCUAGGCUCAAAGCCCAAAUAUCACCAUUAUAAAGUCGUCUCAUAAACAAUUCAUAUAAUAUAGCAUGUAUACUUGUUCACUUUGCUCUAUUUAAUCAUUCAAUCACAAUUUAUAAAUUCCCUUUGAAUCAUUCGAUAUUUUGCACACUAAGUGUCAUUCUCAAUAUCUCGCACACUAAGUGCCAUUCUCAAUAUUUCGUACACUGAGUACCAUAUUUGAUUGCCCCGCACACUAAGUGCCACAUUUUGUCGAUAUGUCGUCAGACAUUAAAAUAUUCACGUAUAUACAAUUUAUACAAUAUUAAAGCAUUAGAAACAUCAAUUUAACAAUGCUUAUUGCAUACAAACUUACCUGGCUAAAUUGUAGAGAUACCAAAGUUCAGGGGCAUUUUGGUAAUUUUCUCAUUUUUCUCGAUUUUCCACCCGAUCUUGAUCUAAAUUAAUAAUUUCAUUCAGUAUACUAAUUUAGACAUUAAAACACCUCAUUUCAUACAAUUUGGUCAUUUUUGUCAUUUUUACAAAAUUACCCCUAAAGUUUUACUUUUAUUCAUUUUAGUCCCUGAGCUCAAAACAUGCAAAUUAACCAUUUUUAACCAUAAUUAAGCUUAGCCAAAUGUUCAUGGUAUCAAAACAAUCCAUAAUUCACUUUAUGGAAAAAUUAUAGUUUUGCUCCUAAUAUUUCAACUUCUUUACAAUUUAGUCUCUAUAUCAUAAAAAUGCAAAUUCAUGAAAUUGAGUAAAAUUCUACUAUAGACGAAUAUCACUAGUGUCUCUAGAAGCCCACACAUUUCAUUUAUUUGACAUUUUAACCACAAAGUUUUCACAUUUAUCAAUUUAGCCCUUAAUUGUCAAUUUCACAAAAAUUCACUUAACAAAAAGUGUUUAACUAUCAACAAGGACUCAUAUUCUUCCAUUAAACUUCAAAGCCCUAUUAUACUCAUCAAUGGAAAAUAUCAAACUAUUCAAUGGUUUUGCAAAAUAGUCCCCUCAUUAGAUAGAUUAAGCAACAACGAUCCCGAAAGUAUAAAAAUAAUUAAAAACGGGACUAGAAAUGCCUACCAUGCAUUAGCUGAAAGUUGGAAGCUUCUUCCAUGGCUUCUCAAGCCUUCAU
rnacentral:lncRNA from 1 species